CAAGGGGACUCGAACCCUAGGCUAUUUAGACCAUAGCGCAGGCAAAUGCGAUUUCUAGUAUUGGUCCUUCAAUAUCGCCAGUUUCACAUCAUAGCUUCACAACCCUUCUUUAAUCCCCAUUAAAAUAUUUAGCACACAUUUCCAAUUAAGUGAACCAAUUAUGCAUUAAGGUAUCCAGUUGGUAUCAUCAUACAAACCUUACUUUCAAGUUCAUUAUCAUGCCAUGUCAACUACUUAGCCUACUGGGAGUCUAACCCCUCGG
rnacentral:lncRNA from 1 species